rnacentral:rRNA from 1 species
GUGGUGUCGUGCUUAACGGUCGCAAUGAAUAGUUGUGCUAAGGUAGCGCAGUCAAUUGUCCUUUAAUUGGGGAAAGGAAUGAAAGGGUUGACGAGGGGGAGGCUGUCUUUGUAAUAUAAUUUGAAAUUUUCUUUUACGUGAAAAGACUUAAAUUUUAAAAUAAGAAGAGAAGACCCCGGCGAGCUUGUUAAGGGUUGUUAAAUGAAAAUGACCAUUGAGGUUUGUUGGGGCAACGCAAAGGGAAGAAAACUCCUUUGAACGUGAUAAGGAUCCACUAAGAGUGAAUAAAGCAAAAGCUACCGCGGGGAUAACAGCGCAAUUUUCUUAGAGAGUUCAUAUCGAAGAGAAAGUUUGCGACCUCGAUGUUGGAUUAAGAUUUCCUUUUGGUGCAGGAGUUAAAAAGGUGGGACUGUUCGUCCUUUAAAAUUUU